GCUUACAAGUAGUCAGAGCCCGUUAAUGGGUGAUGGCGUGCCUUUUGUAGAAUGAACCGGCGAGUUACGAUUUGAUGCAAGGUUAAGCAGUAAAUGUGGAGCCGUAGCGAAAGCGAGUCUGAAUAGGGCGUUUAGUAUUUGGUCGUAGACCCGAAACCAGGUGAUCUACCCUUGGUCAGGUUGAAGUUCAGGUAACACUGAAUGGAGGACCGAACCGACUUACGUUGAAAAGUGAGCGGAUGAACUGAGGGUAGCGGAGAAAUUCCAAUCGAACCUGGAGAUAGCUGGUUCUCUCCGAAAUAGCUUUAGGGCUAGCCUCAAGUGAUGAUUAUUGGAGGUAGAGCACUGUUUGGACGAGGGGCCCCUCUCGGGUUACCGAAUUCAGACAAACUCCGAAUGCCAAUUAAUUUAACUUGGGAGUCAGAACAUGGGUGAUAAGGUCCGUGUUCGAAAGGGAAACAGCCCAGACCACCAGCUAAGGUCCCAAAAUAUAUGUUAAGUGGAAAAGGAUGUGGCGUUGCCCAGACAACUAGGAUGUUGGCUUAGAAGCAGCCAUCAUUUAAAGAGUGCGUAAUAGCUCACUAGUCGAGUGACACUGCGCCGAAAAUGUACCGGGGCUAAACAUAUUACCGAAGCUGUGGAUUGUCCUUUGGACAAUGGUAGGAGAGCGUUCUAAGGGCGUUGAAGCAUGAUCGUAAGGACAUGUGGAGCGCUUAGAAGUGAGAAUGCCGGUGUGAGU
rnacentral:rRNA from 1 species